rfam:Schistosoma margrebowiei strain Zambia genome assembly, scaffold: SMRZ_contig0001254
AUCUAGCUGACGAGUCCCAAAUAAGACAAAACAUGCGUCCGAGAU